rnacentral:rRNA from 1 species
UACGUAGGGGGCAAGCGUUGUCCGGAUUUAUUGGGCGUAAAGAGCGUGUAGGCGGCCAGGUAGGUCCGUUGUGAAAACUCGAGGCUCAACCUCGAGACGUCGAUGGAAACCAUCUGGCUAGAGUCCGGAAGAGGAGAGUGGAAUUCCUGGUGUAGCGGUGAAAUGCGCAGAUAUCAGGAAGAACACCCGUGGCGAAGGCGGCGCUCUGGGACGGUACUGACGCUGAGACGCGAAAGCGUGGGGAGCGAACAGG